GAUGAAGAACGUAGCGAAAUGCGAUAAGUAGUGUGAAUUGCAGAAUUCAGUGAAUCAUCGAAUCUUUGAACGCACAUUGCGCCCCUUGGUAUUCCAUGGGGCAUGCCUGUUCGAGCGUCAUUUGUACCUUCAAGCUCUGCUUGGUGUUGGGUGUUUGUCUCGCCUCUGCGUGUAGACUCGCCUCAAAACAAUUGGCAGCCGGCGUAUUGAUUUCGGAGCGCAGUACAUCUCGCGCUUUGCACUCAUAACGACGACGUCCAAAAGUACAUUUUUACACUCUUGACCUGGGAUCAGGUAGGGAUACCCGCUGAACUUAAGCAUAUCAAUAAGCGGAGGA
rnacentral:misc_RNA from 1 species